rnacentral:rRNA from 1 species
GUCUAUGGCCAUGACACCCUGAAUGUGCCCGAUCCUGUCUCAUCUCAGAAGCUAAGCAAGGUCAAGCCUGGUUAGUACUUGGAUGGGAGACUACUUAGGAAUACCAGGUGCUAUAGGCU